rnacentral:tRNA from 1 species
AUUUAAAUAGCUUAUAUAAGAGCAUAAUAUUGAAGAUAUUAAGGAUAUAAAAUUUAUAUUUAAAUA